rnacentral:lncRNA from 1 species
UCUUUCUUUGCUCACAUCCAGAAUACAAUGUUCUACCCAAUUCUAGUCUUAAGCUCUACUUGAGUUAUAACCACUAAGAAAGCAUAAUAUGUUUGAUUAUUUGUGUACAAUUAUUGAACAUAUCAAUUCAAUUCAAUAGAAUAUUUAUUCUUUCUUGUAUUAGAGACAUCCAAAACUAUGUGACAACUAACAAUAAGAAUGGAAUAUGUGAUAGGUAGAGCUGAAAUUGGAUGGAUCUUUAUUUACCUUUAAGAUCACUUUUUUUGAUAGAAAAAUUAAAUCUCACUAUAAAUGAGAGUUCCUAAAUAAAGAUGGUGGAAUUAGAGUGUUAUAAUUGCCAAUUAUUAAACCCAAUAGCUUCAACCACCU